AUAUCUCGGAGUAUGACACGAACAAGGACGGAGUCCUCGACCUAGACGAACUGGAGAAAGUCAUGAGUACUUGAGAUGCAAAAGAUUUCCUGGAAAUUGCUGAUGAUGACGGAGAUUUUGAGGUAACUGUUGAAGAGUUUAAGCGAGUCGUCAUGGAAUUGAACGAACAGCAAUGAGAAGAUUAACAUCAAAGAAGACCUACAGCUAUAGAGAGAUCUGAUCAGACGUCGACAUAAAUAAAAUAAAAAGUGAAUAUGCA